rnacentral:rRNA from 1 species
AUUGAACGCUGGCGGCAUGCCUUACACAUGCAAGUCGAACGGUAACAGGUCUUCGGAUGCUGACGAGUGGCGAACGGGUGAGUAAUACAUCGGAACGUGCCUAGUCGUGGGGGAUAACUACUCGAAAGAGUAGCUAAUACCGCAUGAGAUCUACGGAUGAAAGCAGAGGACCUUCGGGACUUGUGCUACUAGAGCGGCCGAUGGCAGAUUAGGUAGUUGGUGGGAUAAAAGCUUACCAAGCCGACGAUCUGUAGCUGGUCUGAGAGGACGACCAGCCACACUGGGACUGAGACACGGCCCAGACUCCUACGGGAGGCAGCAGUGGGGAAUUUUGGACAAUGGGCGAAAGCCUGAUCCAGCAGUGCCGCGUGCAGGAUGAAGGCCUUCGGGUUGUAAACUGCUUUUGUACGGAACGAAAAAGCUCCUUCUAAUACAGGGGGCCCAUGACGGUACCGUAAGAAUAAGCACCGGCUAACUACGUGCCAGCCGCCGCAGUAA